GAUGAAGAACGUAGCGAAAUGCGAUAAGUAAUGUGAAUUGCAGAAUUCAGUGAAUCAUCGAAUCUUUGAACGCACAUUGCGCCCCUUGGUAUUCCGAGGGGCAUGCCUGUUCGAGCGUCAUUAUAACCCCUCAAGCUCAGCUUGGUGUUGGGGCCUGCUGCACUGGCAGCCCUUAAAAUCAGUGGCGGCGCCAUCUGGCUCUAAGCGUAGUAAUUCUUCUCGCUAUGGAGUCCUGGGGGAUGCUUGCCAUCAACCCCCAAUUUUUCUAUGGUUGACCUCGGAUCAGGUAGGGAUACCCGCUGAACUUAAGCAUAUCAAUAAGCGGAGGA
rnacentral:misc_RNA from 1 species